rnacentral:pre_miRNA from 1 species
UGUUGCUGCUGCUGCUGCUGUUGCUGCUGCUGCUGCUGUUGCUGCUGCUAUACACAGCAGCAACAGCAGCAGCAGCAGCAACAGCAGCAGCAGCA